rnacentral:rRNA from 1 species
CCUACGGGGGGCAGCAGUGGGGAAUAUUGCACAAUGGGCGCAAGCCUGAUGCAGCGACGCCGCGUGGGGGAUGACGGCCUUCGGGUUGUAAACUCCUUUCGUCAGGGACGAAGCCCUUCGGGGUGACGGUACCUGGAUAAGAAGCACCGGCUAACUACGUGCCAGCAGCCGCGGUAAUACGUAGGGUGCGAGCGUUGUCCGGAAUUACUGGGCGUAAAGAGCUCGUAGGUGGUUUGUCGCGUCGUCUGUGAAAUUCCGGGGCUCAACUCCGGAUGGGCAGGCGAUACGGGCAUAACUUGAGUGCUGUAGGGGAGACUGGAAUUCCUGGUGUAGCGGUGAAAUGCGCAGAUAUCAGGAGGAACACCGAUGGCGAAGGCAGGUCUCUGGGCAGUUACUGACGCUGAGGAGCGAAAGCAUGGGUAGCGAACAGGAUUAGAUAC